CAAAUACUCCCUCCGUCCGGAAAUACUUGUCAUCAAAAUGGAUAAAAGGAAAUGUAUCUAGACGUAUUUUAGUUUUAGAUACAUCUCUUUUUAUCCAUUUUGAUGACAAGUAUUUUCGAACGGAGGGAGUAGAAA
rfam:Triticum aestivum genome assembly, contig: Triticum_aestivum_CS42_TGACv1_scaffold_265356_3DL